CUGAUAUCACGCAAAGGGUGGACGUCUUCCCGGAACGAGCCCGUUUCUGCCAUGCUGGCAGAAAACGCGUGAAAGUCAG
ncrna:unclassified sequences L4-Archaeoglobi ribosomal protein leader